rnacentral:rRNA from 1 species
CCUACGGGUGGCAGCAGUAGGGAAUAUUGGACAAUGGGCGAAAGCCUGAUCCAGCCAUGCCGCGUGAUAGAUGAAGGCCCUCUGGGUGGUAAAUAUCUUUUAUCUGGGAAGAAACAAUCUUAUUCUUAAGAUCUUGACGGUACCAGAGGAAUAAGCACCGGCUAACUCCGUGCCAGCAGCCGCGGUAAUACGGAGGGUGCAAGCUUUACCCGGAUUCACUGGGUUGUAAGGGUGCUUAGGCGGGCGGGGAGAAAGCUCCGAGCUUAACUUGGAAACUGCCAUUGAUACUGCCAGUCUUGAAUGUCGUAGAGGUAAGCGGAAUGUUGCAUGUAGCGGUGAAAUGCUUAGAGAUGUUACAGAACACCAAUUGCGAAGGCAGCUUACUAUGCGAUGAUUGACGCUGAGGCACGAAAGCGUGGGGAGCAAACAGGAUUAGAUACCCGUGUAGUC